CAGCCGCCGCGGGAAUACGAAGGGGGCUAGCGUUGCUCGGAAUGACUGGGCGUAAAGGGCGCGUAGGCGGUUCGUACAGUUGGAUGUGAAAUUCCCGGGCUUAACCUGGGGGCUGCAUUCAAUACGUGCGGGCUAGAAUGUGGAAGAGGGUUGUGGAAUUCCCAGUGUAGAGGUGAAAUUCGUAGAUAUUCGGAAGAACACCAGUGACGAAGGCGGCUCACUGGACGACUGUUGACGCUGAGGUACGAAAGCGUGGGGAGCAAACAGGAUUAGAUACCCCCGUAGUCCCUGUCUCUUAUAC
rnacentral:rRNA from 1 species